UUAGCCAAUGAUACCCAAGUUUUUGGGCAUCUGAUCUCCACUAUUUCUCUCUAAUUUAUACUGACUGAGGGCCUUCAGAGCUUUGGGUAGUUGAGUGAUGACCUGCUCCUGUUAAAAGCUCUUAGUCCACUCCUCUGUUAUGCUGCAAACUGAACUCCCAGCCUGGAAAGUUUUCUCCAAUGGACAGCAAGCCAUUCUUCCCCUCUGCUAACCUAGGACCUGGGGAUUGCUGCCUCACCAUCUGCAUUUACCCAGAACAGAUGCAAAAAAACCCACAGAAUUUUGGAGCUCCCAAACCAACAGUAACUUUGGUACAGCAGAUGCUGCCGUGAAGGAACCUGGUGGCUACAACUGGGACACUGGUGUUUUUUUCAUAUGACCUCAUGUCGUCACUCGCUAUCUAAUCUGUAUCAAAAGAACAAGGCCACAAUGUGCAUACUGUCAGUAUUUCCCUGUGCCUUGGACUUCUACAUUCUAUGGACAUCUGAGACUUUUUUCUGCAGUUACUGUACUCAUCAGGAGGUAUGAGGUUAUCUGUCAGUGUCUUCAUUCAUAUAUGCAAAAACUUUCAGGUGAAAAACAGGUGAGUUUGGAUUAGCCUUUAAUUCUGGGGUGAAGUUGAAGAAGUUGCAAGCAAAACAAAUACAGUCAUCAGUCAACUCUCAGAUUAUGACAAUGAUGGGGAGAAAAAAAAAUUAGCCUAUUCAGUAGAUCGAUGGAUCUAUUGAUCUGUCUGGGGAGAACAUAAAUAAUGGAACAUAUGCCAAGCACAUGUGAAUAAAAGGGACAGAGUAAUCCAUCUCCAAAUGGCACCUGCUGAUUUGUUGAAUGUAUAAAAUAUGCUCUUAAAAUCUAUUGAUUGUCAUGGAAUUGGAUCAAAGCACUGAUCUCCUUGCAUUGGCACUGCUCUGGCCAGGGCCUAAGAGACCAAAAUAUAUGACAAAUCCCAGCUAAGAAUCUUUUAGAUUCUAUUGCCUCUGUCAUUCUCAGUCAGAAGGGUUUUGGUGCAUUCACUUAUGUUUCUCCAGGACCUCUGAGUUAUCUUUAAUCAAGACUUAUCUGUUGAUGACAAACUGCAUUCUGUCAUUCAGAUGUCCUUCUCCUAUCCCAGGAAUGCAGCUAGAUUAAAGAUUGCCUUGUCCCAGGAAGACUGUGAGAUCUUAAUCCAUUCUCGUGUUACAUCUUGGCUGGGCUCCUCACACUCUUUGCUGACAGCUUUAACAAGCAGGGCCAUGAAUUUAUUGCAGCUUAAUUUGAAUUCAUCUGCAAAAGAUGCCACCUGAGACUAAACAUUUAUGUAUCAUUUUGCCUGACUUUAGAACCCAUCAACUCUCUCCCCAGGAAAAUGGUGUAUUGAUAUUAACCAUUCCUCUGCUCAUGUUUAUUGCCAUUCACUGUUCCUCUGCAAUGGCAAACAUUGCUCCAGGCUCAUCCUUUCCCUUUGCUCCUGGUGGACAGAUUUAGUGAUCUGAGUGAGGGCAGAGAGCAUACUAAUUAAAGUCAGAUAUUGAAUCUAAAUCAGGAGGUACUGCAAAUGCCAGGGAAGCAGGGAAAACACAGUUCAAAAGGAAUUCAUAGCCCCUGGGACUAAAUGGAAAAAUCUGUCAGAAUGCAAACAGAAACAUUUGGGUAAAGAGAAAUAACAUGAGAGAUACUUUCACAACAGAAUCACUGCAAAAUUUUGAUGUUAAAUGGAUUGUAGAAAGUAAAUCAGAUCAAAGCUUCAAGUAUAAUAUGGCAUUAAUGAAAACACAUGAUUCCUUCAUCAUUAUCCUUCAUCAGAGGCAGAACACUUUUCUAUAUUCAAUUUACUCCCAGGUUGCUACAGGCCACAACUGCAUCCAUAAAAGCCAAAGCAUAAAAGGAAAAUCAAAAGUGAUUUAUAAGGAUAAAUCUUGAGGACUAAAUGUGAGUGACACAGCCAAAUGGAUGGGGGAGGAGUAAAAAGAUUGGUAAGAACCUGCUAGGAAAACUACCAUGGAUGGGAGGAAAUUGCAAAAGCUCGGGGGGCUCAGCUAGGAAAAAAAGUGAGUCAGACGUUGAAAUAAAGGAGGGCCCAGGGUUACUGUCCAGAAUAUGGUGAAGUUGAGAGGUUCACCUAAAAUACAUUCUCCAGGAUAUAAGUAUGAUGGCUGAUGUAAAUCGGAAAGGGGCUAAAGGGUAAUAGAAAGAAAAGAUUUUUGUAUUUUUUAUGCAUAAAAUAGCUGCAUUUUUAAGCACCAAAGGAUAAAUCCUCAGAUGGACUACAGCACUGCAUCUGCACCAAAGUCUGUCAGUUUACAGCAGCCAAGAUCUGGCAUACCUACCAUAAUUCACACUGGGUUACAAACUGUAAUUACCCCUGCCUCCAUCCAGCAGAGAUCCCUUGCUCUUUAUAUUUGUUAGUCAAUACAUGUUUUAGGAAAACAGAGCUGAAACAGAGAUUUUGGAUUGUCUGAUCAUUUUCUUACAGUGAGCCAUAACUACUCCAUCUGACAAACUGUAAAAUGACUGUGGUUGCUUGCUCCCACUGCUCUUUGUAAAAAAAUCCCCCUGUAUUACUUGUCAGAGAACCUAAGAUCAAAAAUAACAAAAUCCAUUUUAAAACCCUCCCUCUUUCUUUGUUAACAAUGUUCUUCUCUUACUCUGGCGUUUACCUCUCCAUCGAGAAAGAGGGGUAAAUGCUCCUUCUAAUUACAGCUGAUAAAUUAGAGGAAUGGUGACUUUUGCUAAAGAACUAAA